AUAGGCCCUAAGUCCUGGAAUGGCUAGGACCAAAAUGGAGUCAUUUGUUGCUUAAUGACUUCCGCCUUAGGAUGGGUCUGCGGUGGAUUAGGUAGAUGGCGAGGUAACUGCUCACCAUGCCUACGAUCCAUACCGGCCAUGGAAGUGGGAGCCGGGAGAUGGAUACUGAGACAAAGAUCCAGGUCCUAAGGGACGCAGCAGUCGCGAAAUCUUCGCAAUGUGCGCAAGCAUGACGAGGGAACCCCAAGUGCACUCCCACAAGGAGUGCUUUUCUUGAGUGUAAAAAGCUCGGGGAAUAAGGGCUGGGUAAGACCGGUGCCAGCCUCCGCGGUAACACCGGCAGCUCAAGUGGUGGUCACGUUUAUUGGGCUUAAAGCGUUCGUAGUCGGUUCAGCCAGUCCUCUGUGAAAUCCAGCAGCUUAACUGUUGGGCGUGCAGAGGAUACUACUGGGCUUGAGGCCGGGAGAGGAGUGAGGUAUUCCAGGGGUAGCGGUGAAAUGCGGUGAUCCCUGGAGGACCACCUGUGGCGAAGGCGUCACUCUAGAACGGGCCUGACGAUGAGGAACGAAAGCUAGGGGAGCAAACCGGAUUAGAUACCCGGGUAGUCCUAGCCGUAAACGAUGCGGACUGAGUAUUGCGGGAGCCUCGUGCUCCUGCACUGCUGUAGGGAAACUGUCAAGUCCGCCGCCUGGGGACUAUGGUCGCAAGGCUGAAACUUAAAGGAAUUGGCGGGGGAGCACCACAAGGGGUGGAUGCUGCGGUUCAAUUGGAUAAUACGCCGGGAAACUUACCAGGGGCGACGGCAGUAUGAUGGCCAGGCUGAAGGUCUUGCCUGACGAGCCGAGAGGUAGUGCAUGGCCGCCGCCAGCUCGUACCGUGAGGCGUACGGUUAAGUCCGUUAACGAGCGAGACCCGUACCCUUAUUUGCCACCUUCAAUCUUCGGAUUGGGGAGCACUAUAAGGGGACCGCUGGCGAUGAGUCAGAGGAAGGCGCGGGCGACGGUAGGUCUGUAUGCUCCGAAUCUCCUGGGCUACACGCGGCAUACAAUGGCACAGACAAUGGGUCGCAACCCCGAAAGGGGAAGCUAAUCUCUAAACUGUGUCUCAGUACAGAUUGAGGGUUGAAACCCACCCUCAUGAAGCUGAAAUCCCUAGUAAUCGUAGGUUACUAUCCUGCGGUGAAUAUGUCCCUGCUCCUUGCACACACCGCCCGUCACGUCAACCGAGUGAACCGUGGGUGAGGCGCGCUCAUUUGAGUGCGUCGAAUCUAUGGUCUGCGAGGGGGAUGAAGUCGUAACAAGGUA
rnacentral:rRNA from 1 species